UACAAAAAAAAAAACUUUGUGCACGGCGGCUCAUGCCUGUAACCUAACACUUUGGGAGACCAAGACGAGAGAAUUGCCUGAGGCCAGGAGUUUAAGACCAGCCUAGUCAACAUAGUGAGACCCCCAUUUCUUAAGAAAAUAUUUUUAAUAAAAUUAACAAAAGAUAAACUUAGCCAGGCAUGGUGGUACAUCCCUGUAGUCCCAGCUACUUGAGAGGCUGAGGUGGGAAGAUUACUUAGGCCCCGGAGGUCCAGGUUAGAGUGAGUCAUGAUCAAACUACUGCACUCUAGCCUGGACAAUAGAGUGAGACCCUGUCUCAAAAAAAAAAAUAUGGAAGAAAAGAAUAAAGAAAGAAAGGUGAAAUCAUACAAGUACUGCUAGAGAAGCUAGAUAAGAUCAUGGGAAAUUUUUUUUUUUAUUUUGGAAUGAGAAAAACAUUUGAAGAAAGACACAAACUGUCAAAACCAUAAAGGCAAAGAUUAAUAAAAUUAACCUCACAAAGAUUUAACAUUUCUCCAUGGAGAAAAAACACCUUGUACAGAGAUAUAAGUACACAAAUGGUAAGCUGAGAAAAUAAACAUUUACAAUAUCUGCAAUAUAAUAAAA
rnacentral:lncRNA from 1 species